CAAGCGGUGGAUGAUGUGGUUUAAUUCGAUGCAACGCGAAAAACCUUACCCACCUUUGACAUGUACGGAAUUUGCCAGAGAUGGCUUAGUGCUCGAAAGAGAGCCGUAACACAGGUGCUGCAUGGCUGUCGUCAGCUCGUGUCGUGAGAUGUUGGGUUAAGUCCCGCAACGAGCGCAACCCUUGUCAUUAGUUGCUACAUUUAGUUGGGCACUCUAAUGAGACUGCCGGUGACAAACCGGAGGAAGGUGGGGAUGACGUCAAGUCCUCAUGGCCCUUAUAGGUGGGACUACACACGUCAUACAAUGGCUGGUACAAAGGGUUGCCAACCCGCGAGGGGGAGCUAAUCCCAUAAAACCAGUCGUAGUCCGGAUCGCAGUCUGCAACUCGACUGCGUGAAGUCGGAAUCGCUAGUAAUCGUGGAUCAGAAUGUCACGGUGAAUACGUUCCCGGGUCUUGUACACACC
rnacentral:rRNA from 1 species